ACUAUUUUAGCUGUAAUCAAGUGGAAAUUAUCGUCAGCUCCGUGGGUAUAAAGACGCAGCUGCGAGGAGACCUGUCUGUCUUAAAACCCCCAAGGAAGUUUCAAAGGGGCGCCAUAAUAAGGUGGAUGAUACUCCAAUUAAUGCCUCCCGGCUGAAAUUCCAAAGCCUGCGCGACAAACCUGUUUCCAUCAUGUCCUGGCUUUUGCCUUCCCAACCACGACAGCAUGGAGACUCAGAGCCGGGCAAGACAAGCCUCGAGGGAGCGAUCCUGCGGCAGGGAGCUGGCGGAGCCCUCAAGCUGGCCAUGCUAAAUACACCGGAUUCACUUGGAUGCAAACACCUCUGGAGGUCCUUGCGUGGCUUCCUGGAAAUGCUCUGAGGCCCGAGGAGAGUGGAACAUGCCAGAAAUACCUGCGAGGGAGAGAAUUAGACACCAGAAAAGAAGGCGUCAGAGGGAGUAGCUGCUGCAUUUCUGGCGACUCCAUCGUGCUGGGCUCUUUGAAGGGGCGGGACCAAACUGAGUGCGGCUGUGAAGCACGGGGCUUGAGAAGCACCUCCCCAGGGGAGCGGGGACCUCUGUUGCCUCAGUGGCCCCCGCGAACGGCCUUCUGCACUUGACUUUGUGCAGGUUUGUGCUGCCUCCACGAGGACAGCGUCAGGACGGAGCUGGAUUCAGGACGCCGGCUGGUGUCACAGAAUUGUGUCGCGCGGGGAAAACCCCACACGUCUGGUGACCAGGGGUGUCAGAAGGGAAAUGUUCUGUGUGACAGUACAGGAGACGUUCGGAGAGAAGAAGCGGGUUUUCCCCUCCUCAGGAGGACGACCGGGUUUUUCCAGAACAAAGAGAAGGGAAAAAAAGAAACACUUUGUACUAUAGGCAAUGCCUACCGAGACCGGACAGUCUGAACCUGGGUUCAGGACAAGUCAUGAACCUGACGGUGAGACAGAGAGGUCAUAAAUAUUCUUAAUGUUGCUGGGCCACGGUGUGUUCAUUCUGCGGCUCCGUGUGAUUGAAAUGGUUGUAAAAAUCCCCCCCCCCCAUCAUAUCUGCCUUGGCUCCUUUCCCUCUUUUUCCCACGGAAUUUUAAGCUCCCUCUUCAUAAAUUCUUCCCGUAGAGAUUUAGCGCCACUGAUGCCCAUGG